CCGUAUAGCCCUGAAGAUUCAAGUCCUCUUUAUCCAUAGAAGCAGGUGCAGCAUGGGCAGCUGCAGUGAAACUGUCUCCCCACUGCACCUGCCUUACUCCUCGUCUGGAGAGAACACCUCCAGAAAUGAGAGGGAAGAUCAGUCUCUAUGCCCUUUCGUUCUCUGGCCUCU
rnacentral:sRNA from 1 species